rnacentral:rRNA from 1 species
AUCAUUAAGUUGGGGACUCUAGCGAGACUGCCAGUGAUAAACUGGAGGAAGUGGGGAUGACGUCAAAUCAUCAUGCCCCUUAUGACCUGGGCUACAAACGUGAUACAAUGGCUGGAACAAAGGGAUGCGAAGCAGUGAUGUGGAGCGAAACCCAUAAAAACAGUCUCAGUUCGGAUUGAAGUCUGCAACUCGACUUCAUGAAGUCGGAAUCGCUAGUAAUCGCGGAUCAGAACGCCGCGGUGAAUACGUUCUCGGGUUU